GGGACAGCGGGUGGCAGGCUCGGGCUGCGAGCUAAUCUGAGACUGGAGAAAGGCCUACGCAGGAUGAAGGGUGAAUCUGGAAGGCUUUCCCCGCUUGGCCCAAAUGACCAACCCACGGCUUGACUGCCACAGCAGCAUGCCCAGGCUGUAAGCCUCAUGCCUGCGGUGUUCUCCAUGGAAGUGAGCCGUAGUGACUGUGUGUAGAGAGCUGCCUUUCACCUAUGUUUACAGGUACCUGCCGGAGAAACACCUGGGCAUCAUGGUUCAGCCAUCUUCCCCUUGAGUGUUUGUUUUGUUUGCUGGUUUGUUUUGUUUUCCUUUCUCUCCAGAAUGUAAUAGGGGAACUGAAGUGAUGGGGCUUUUUGAUGUAUCAGGAGGGUCAGUUUACCUCCUGAAAGGCUUUUUUAAGCAUGAGGAGCAGAAGGCAUUUGAACAGGCACUGCAGAAGGUGGAAGGCUCGAGCUCUGGGUUUCAUCUCACCCCGUCUCACUCCGGGUGCUGAGCAGGGGAGCACGGGUUUACUGUGGGCUGAGCACCCUUGCAUCUGUGCUUGCAGUCCUGUGCUCUGCUCUCUACGCUGCAGAAACCCCACGGUUCUGGGGGUCAGGGAGAGGACACCCCUGUGCUCUCCCAAAUGCCCAUCCCUCUGAGGGUGCAGCAUUCACCUGCAGCUGGCUCCUGACCACGCAGCUACUCGCAGGAGAACGUGGAGCGCCCUUCUCUUUCAGAACGACUCCUUUAAUGUCGGUAUGUGGCCGAUCGGCCUUUGCCUUGCGCAAGGCCGCCGUGCCCCGUUGCCGCCCCGGCUGUCCCCGCUGUCCCUGCGCUCACAGCUCUGCCGCUGCCUCCCUCCGCCGGCUGCGCCUCGCUGCCCGCCCCCGGCCGGGCUGACCCGGCUGCAGCCCGGGAGGGCAGGGGGAAUGCGGCCGUGCAGAAGGAGGUGGCGAGCAAGGUGCUAGUGAGCACAGUCAGCUGGGCCCUGAGUGUCCUGGCGACAGUGAGAUGAUCUUUCAGGCUCGCAAUCGGCUCUGAAAGCACCAUCAUGUGCAGAAAUGUUUUGGGGUUUUUUUAGAAAAGCUUUGCUUUUGCUCUUUUGGGAUUGGUUUAUGUCAAGUUGAAGGGCAACUAAGAAUGCUGAACUGCUUUUAUAGGAGUGUCAAAAUAGGGAUAAGGCCAGAGCAGAGGAGGCAAGCUUUGAAGUGUUCCUUUCUGGUGGAAAUACUCCUUGAGCAGUCACACUAGGACUGCUAGCAUUCAGAAACACAUAAUCACGAGAAUGAUUAUAUGCUGGUGCCUUUAUUGAAGAGCUCUGGGUGUCAGGGGUUACCAACCCAAAUCUGACUCCGCCAUGGGUUCGGGAUGAACAUGUUUUUAUAUUCUAUCAUUAUAUAACUUUCAUGUUAAUUAUUAAACUUAUAUUGUUCUGUUGUAUACAUAGAUUUCAGCCAAGCAUGGCUCCUCGUGGCCCCCCUUUAAAUUUCUAACAUAGUUUCUCAUGAUUCUUCUUAUGAUUAUACAAUAAUUAUAUUUAAUUACUAAACAGUCAUCACAUCUAACAAUUAUAUCAUUUAUCAUGCUGCUUAUGCAGGUGCAAUGAUCUGGCAAAACACAAAGCCUAACAUUUUCAGAGUCUAUCUUUAACAUUUUCCAGGGCCCCACUAUCAGGACCGUUCUGCCAGGGACAAAUGGUGUUAGUUCCUUGGGCUCCCAGUGUUGGUUAUUCUGUAGGGACUCACAGAACAGACCUAAGUAUUUUUGAUACUGAGGAUAGAUGCCUAAGAGACUUUCAACAGCAUUUUAAGGGGCUGUUCCACUUGAUUUGCUUUGUAAAUCGCAAAAGCUUUCCUUUAUUGGAAAAGCUUUCCUUUAGUGUUAAAUGUGCAUGUUCACUGGGGUAAAGUAAAAUGCUGAUCAAGUUGAUGUGUUUAAACAGAAUUCUCUGUAUUUUACAUAGAAUUCUCUAGAUCUUGAAACAGAAUUCCCCGUCCCUUUGAUGUCUGAUCCAGAUGGAAGUUGAUGGUAUCAUUCUCUCCUUUAACCCCUCUUUUAAAUGUAAAAUGAUGCUAUCAGGUGGGUUAAGCAGAUGUUGCUCGAUGUUAUGGAAAGCUUUUGUAUUUUAUGACUUGCCUGGCAAUUGUCUGAGAAGAUGACAUCUUCUUGGACAUUCAGUCUGAAGUUCUGCACGUCCUGAACUGAACUUUGCUUGAGACUGAGUAGGGGACAUCUCCCCAAACAACCAGCAGGGACCACUAGAGACUCCCGAAGAGGCCUACGCAGGUGCAGUGACACUGCAUAAGGUUGCACAAGUUAAGCAAUUAUGCAGUAGGCGGGGGUAACUGUGUAUCAGAUAGGCAGGUUUAUGUAUAUUUCAGUGUGUGAAUUCUCUCACAUUUUAAUCCUUGAUUUGUGGAAAAUCUCUGCUUUGCAUCUUGGGCAGAAUAAACAAUGUUUCCUUUCUAAACCCUUUGUCCCUGUUUAGAGAGUUCUGAAAGUUGGUAACAAAAGCAGUAAAUUGAUUUACAGUUUGGAAGCCUUUGCAGAAGAAUUAAUUUAUUGGAGGUGUUGCCCAAGCAUUCAAAGAGGAGAAGAAAUUAAGCAGAUCCCAGCAGGAAGGAGCAGAUGCAGCCAAGGCUAAGACAGAAUCUGCUGCAGCCACGCCAUCGAGUCCUGUUGCAGAGACGUUCCGAGUUAUUCAAGGGACAGUGACUGAAGAGUACGUGAGAAGUACUCAGGGUGUCUUUCAGUUUGAGCUCUCUGGCGAUGGCGGAGGCACUUGGUAUAUUGACCUGAAGACCAAGGGUGGGAGCGCUGGCUUCGGAAAGCCUCCCGUGACAGCUGAUGUGGUUAUGAGCAUGUCGAGUGCCGACUUUGUGAAGAUGUUCACAGAUUUUGAGGCCCAUAAAAAUGAAGUGACUAAAAAACCUGUGACUGUUUUGCUACUGUGAGUAACUGGAGAGAAAGUUGCAGGGGUUUUGGGUGAUGAUAAAUGAAGAGAAUGGCUCCAGGACGUGCAUAAGAGAGACACGAUCUGCAGGCUGCUGACACUAGUGAGCAGGACUGAUGGCUCGUUGUACUGCGAAGGUAAUGUGACCCUGGUGUGUUCAAGGGCUCUGUUUAGACGUCUUCCACCGGCUCAGCAGUUCCAGGUCUCUGCCGGGGUUGGGAGCAGGCGGUGCCAGCAGAGGGAGCAGGCAGCCCGCCGCAGCGGGGCUGCUUUGGAGACCCCGCCCUGCAGCCCGGCCUGACGCAGACUUGGUUAGGAGCUAGACUCGCCAAGGUGCACCACGAUCUUUUUCUGCUUAAAGCACGGAUCACAUGUGGGAUAGGGUGAGAUAAGCAGGUUUGCAGCAACUUAAAAAUCUAUGUCUGUGCCUUGCAGACUCUUACCUCCCUUCCCUCAUUCCUGGUAUAAAGUCCUUGCUCCAGAGCAGGAAUGAGGUGUAAGGUGUGUACUUCUAGAUGACAGAGCACCAGGACUUGUCAUAUUUAUUUGAACCACUGAAAUAAUCAGUGAGAGUAAUAUUUUGGGGAGAGACUUGGUUUGGAAGAGUGUUCGCCUGAAUGCUUAAAAUCAAAUGAAUGACAAAAAUCAAACCCAGUGAAUCUUCAUAUAAUGUCCAUGUAAUCCAUAUAGUCUAUAUAAUGGUGUCUUGCUUAAUUAGUUCUAUGCAUCAUUCUGUCCUAGGAUAAGAUGGUGCUUUGUAUAGCAAAGUUAAGCUCUAAUUAACUAAAUAAUACAUAGAGACAGUAUCUUUUACUGGGGUGGCCUGUAGCUCUGCUUCCCACCAUUUCUACUAGGGGCUGAGAAUAAGACUUUGCCAGCUGUCUGGGGACAGUAUCUUCACACCUCUUGAGACAGGUUUACCUGCACAGAAUUUUAUUAGUGUGGUCCAGACUUUAACUUGAAGUUACUGUAGGGGAAAAAGAACAGAAAGAAAAGGAAGUGCCUGACAAGUAUCCAGCCAAGUAAUGAAGCAAUGUGGCCCCCAGAAGAGUGUCCUUUCCACAGUCAGCAAGCAGUGAAGAUGAGGAAAGUAACUAUAAUUAUUGUUGUCAGGCUUUCUCCUCUGUCAACUCUGCUCUUGGCAUUAGGAGCCAGCCAAGCUACCUCUUGGUUGUUCCUGUAUAUGAUGCUGUCAGUGCUGACAGGAUCACAUUUCAGCAGUCACAGGUGGCGUCUGUCAGUCACUCCAUUUGUGCAUAUUUAUGGUUGGUAAUGCUUACAGGUUAUUUACAUGAUUAUUAUCUACUUUUCUAUUUGUUAACUCUUGCUUUUCCCCUUAAUACAAACUAAAGUUACAAAACAGAUAGGAAACCCAAGGGGAAGAAAGAUGAGAUUCUCAGACUCUGAGCAAUUGCUUUCUAUGAGAAUCUACUGAGAUUUGCAAAUGGAAUGCCAAGGCAACAGCAUGGGAAGAAAAAGGGAGAAAGACUGACACAGCAGCUUGGGUCAAAGGCUGCAGGGCUGCAAGUGAUGGCUGGGCCCUGAAGGGGCAUAGAAGGCACUUGGCAUUGCAAAGAUGACAUCACUUGUGCAUGUCUGUGUGCAGCAGUUGAUAUGUCUGCCAUUUGCUACUCAGUGCUAAAAGACAGCUUUUGCAAUGAAAUUGUGAUCGCAAGGUUGGACUGGGAAGCCACCUGCACAUUAGAACCUAACAACCAAGGAGGCAGAAAAGUGUGCACACUCUCUUGGCAUGGCAUGGUUAAACUCAAGCUUUAUGGUUACCUCACUAGAAAGUGAAGCAAGGAAAGAAAAGUGGGUUCUAUCAAAUUUCUUAAAUGUGAGCAGUAAUUCUGAGCUUGUUUACCUGUUCUCACUUUCUCCCACUCAUAGGAGUUGCAUGGCAUGAGCAACAACUCUGAAAGCAGACCUUUUCAUCAGUGGUUAAAGUUUUAGCAGGGUGGGGUGUUGUAUUGCAUCUAGCCCCUUCUCAUAUCAGUGGGGGAUAAGUACAAUACCAUUAUUCAAUCAUGAUCUUUGUCACAACUUUGAUUGUGAGUUUGUGUGAGAUGUAGUAUUGGGUGAACAAAUAACAGAAAAUCAGUGUGAUGGAUCUUUUUCACCAAGAAACAUAUUUCAUACUAUUUGUAAUAUUUUCUCCAGAAGGAUGUUGUCAGCUAUUUCUUUAUUCAUACCUUACUAUUUCUACUAAACAACCGAAUAUGCUAGAGGGGAAUUUUGAGAUCCAGACUUUACUGUAAAAGCAGUGUCUAGGUCACAUCUAUUCACUGAAACAGGUGUCUCAAACUUUGAAAUUUACCAGGCCAAAAAGGGAGGGAAGAAAACAAUACCAUGGUUGCCUCAACCCAGAAACCUUGUGUUGAAGAUUGCAUGCAAGAUGUUUUCCAUUACCAUCUGUAUGGCUGAUUACCUUGUCAAGUGAGCAGUUUGCCUUAUCUCUCUCUUUGAAUGACCACA